AUUGAACGCUGGCGGCAGGCUUAACACAUGCAAGUCGAGCGAGCGGCGGACGGGUGAGUAAUGUCUGGGAAACUGCCUGAUGGAGGGGGAUAACUACUGGAAACGGUAGCUAAUACCGCAUACCAUCAGAUGUGCCCAGAUGGGAUUAGCUAGUAGGUGGGGUAAGGGCUCACCUAGGCGACGAUCCCUAGCUGGUAUGAGAGGAUGAAGAGCGACACUGGAACGGAGAGACAGUCCAGACUCCAACGGGAGGCAGCGGUGGGGAAUGUUGCAAAAUGGGAUAAAGCGUGAUGCAGCCAGGCCGCGGUUGUGAAGAAGGCCUUCGGGUGGUAAAGCACUUUCAGCGAGUAGGCGUUACUCGCAGAAGAAGCACCGGCUAACUCCGUGCCAGCAGCCGCGGUAAUUC
rnacentral:rRNA from 1 species